GUGCUUACUUUGGCAGUGCAGGGACUAAAAUUGAAUUAAGAGAAGAUUAGCAUGGCCCCUGUGCAAGAAUAACAUGCAAAUUCUUUUUUUGUUUCCAUUUUUU
ensembl:snRNA U6 U6 spliceosomal RNA